CUGGUGGAAGAAAAUUAGGGUUAUACGUUUCCCACCAAGCACCACGGCACCCUACCCCGGAAGUAAUUCUGGGCGUUGUAAUUAUCCGGUUUUCGCGACGUUGUAUACGCAGAUAUUGCCCGGGGCUAGACCACGAACCGUACUAUUAAAGGAUUCUUACCUACGAACUUCUGGGGGGUGGAACGCUUGCGUUUGGUGAGGCUGUUGGCCAGCCGAUCAAUGAAGGUUGGCCGCUCAGAGGAUGAGUGCAACAUGGAGUCUGGCACCAUCUCCAGAUCGCAUCCCUUUGUGAAGAGGGGGUAGAUGCUGGAAUCAUCCUGGUCCUGCACUCCCUCUGACCCAGCCCUCAACUCCCCCACAGGCCUGCCUACAGCCCUACCUGCUUGGCCAGCCAGAGCUUGGGCUUCAGUGCUGAGACUCUGUAGGUAGUUGUGGCACCGCUCUUUGUGCUCCUCCAGGGUACUCUGCUGUUUGUAGCUCCGGCCACAGUAGUUACACUUGUAGGGCUUGCCCACCGUGGGAGAGGAGACUGUGGAGGAGACAGGAGACGGAUGGCAUGAGUUACUUCUCCCUGUACCCUGGCUCUACAGAACCAUCCAGGAGCAAAGGCUCAUGGGCUUGAGGAGGAAGGGAUGUCGCUCAGAGUUUCAGUAUCCUUGUCAGCAAAACAGGGAUAAUGCCAUCUACCUUAGAGUCGUUAUGAGGAUCACAUGAAAAGACAAGCAAAAUGCUUUGUGGAUUAUAAAGCCUGAAUCAACGAUGACCUUUCUCCCUGUUUCUCUACUCACCUCCAAGGUAACUGACCCGAGUGUGUCCGGAGGUGGCCAGUGAGAGCAUCGCGCCGGCGGCAGGCGUAGUUACAGAAGGGACAUUUGAAAGGCUUCUCCCCAGAGUGAAGUUUGAUGUGGCGCAGCAGGUUCCCCUUCUGGGUGAAGGAGGCGCCACACUGGUUGCAGUGGAAGGGCCUUUCACCUGCAAGAGAAAGAACAGAUCUCUGAGGACUGCAUGUGAGGAAUUUUGAAGGCUGAACCUCUUCUGUCACCCUCUGCCCCACCCUGCCUAAGGGACGGUGCUCAGAACAAUUCCUGAGAGGCAGAGCUGUGGCACGCACAGGAAAUUCCUGCUUUCUAAAGAUUCCCUUGGGAAGAGCCUUACCCUGGGAAGGUGUGGAUCAGGAUGAAUGGCAGGGCAAAGGGCACCAGGCCUGGAACUCUGGGCCAAAAGAUCAUUAACCCAAAACCGAGCCUUAUAAGACCCACUCUGCCCCUGGAGCCCAAAGGCUGAGAAAGCUGAGAAGAGGCUUUUGUUUUCCUUUUC